rnacentral:rRNA from 1 species
UACGGAGGGUGCGAGCGUUGUCCGGAAUCACUGGGCGUAAAGGGCGCGUAGGCGGCGCGGGAAGUCCGUGGUGAAAGCCCGAGGCUCAACUUCGGGUCGGCCAUGGAUACUCCUGGGCUUGAGCACUGUAGAGGCAGGUGGAAUUCCGGGUGUAGCGGUGAAAUGCGUAGAUAUCAGGAGGAACACCGGUGGCGAAGGCGGCUACCUGGACAGAAACUGACGCUGAGGCGCGAAAGCUAGGGGAGCAAACAGG